AGGCAUACUUGAUACACUUGGGCUUCUCAUUAUGUCAGUCUUUAAUUUGCAAGUAAAUUUUUCUAGCUGACAUUUGUUUCACGAGCCUUUUAUUUUUUUUUACGAUAAAAAUCAACAUUGCACCGGGUUAUUUUAAAUGGACAGAGUCGAUAUUCAAUUCCAUUUUUCGUGGAACCGAAUCACGACUGCAUAAUAGAGUGUCUUCCAACUUGCCAGUCCGAAAACAAUCUUCCCAAAUAUCCAGCGAUCAAAUGUUCGGCGUAUCUCACCCAACGUUACGAAGAAUCGCAUUUGAAGUUCAGCAGCUA